rnacentral:rRNA from 1 species
UACGGGGGUGGCAAGCGUUGUUCGGAAUUACUGGGCGUAAAGGGCGCGUAGGCGGUCUGCUAAGUUGGAUGUGAAAACUCUGGGCUUAACCCAGAGCCUGCAUUCAAUACUGACAGGCUAGAGUUCUGGAGGGGAUAGCGGAAUUCCUGGUGUAGCGGUGAAAUGCGUAGAUAUCAGGAGGAACACCGGUGGCGAAGGCGGCUAUCUGGACAGAGUCUGACGCUGAGGCGCGAAAGCUAGGGGAGCAAACAGG